UCUGCAUUUCUCUGCACUGGUGUGCUCUAG
rnacentral:piRNA from 1 species